GCUGGGUGCAGUGGUGCAAGCCUGUAAUCCCAAUGGCUUAGGGAGGCUGAGGCAGGGGAAUCGUGAGUUCAAAGCCAGCCCCAGCAACUUAGCAAGCCUUAAGCAACUCAGCGAGACCCUGUCUCUA
rnacentral:sRNA from 1 species